CACGUAGGGCGCGAGCGUUGUCCGGAAUUAUUGGGCGUAAAGAGCUCGUAGGCGGCCUGUUGCGUCCGCUGUGAAAAGCCCGGGGGCUUAACCCCGGGUCGGCAGUGGAUACGGGCAGGCUAGAGGUAGGUAGGGGAGAAUGGAAUUCCCGGUGUAGCGGUGAAAUGCGCAGAUAUCGGGAGGAACACCGGUGGCGAAGGCGGUUCUCUGGGCCUUACCUGACGCUGAGGAGCGAAAGCGUGGGGAGCGAACAGG
rnacentral:rRNA from 1 species